CAGACAUCUGACCUCCUAGUGACUAAGGCAAGGUCACACAAGCACGUGUUCAGCUCUUAUGGCUGCCGAAAUGGGGAGCUGGUCCCUUCAAUAUGGGAGAAUCUGGGUCUCUUUUGUCACCACUUCAGCCAAGUGGGCCUUGCAAUCCCUGUUGAAGACUGGCAAGUGCAAGGGAUGGAACUCUUGGUCAGGCAUGUCUCAAGGCAACUGAAGAGGAACUGAAAAUGAAGAGCUAUUCCUGCCUGGACCAUUUGUCAUCCUCAGUUAAGUGGAAUCUGCUGAACUCCCAGGGAAGCUCACUCUCUGGAUCAGAUACCACAGAACAAGUGGUUCCAUGAGAGAAGGGAAAGCUGGUAUUUACUGUGUGUGACUUAUGGGACAAAUGCAGCAUCUGAAGUGGCCAUGAGGGGCAAGACUAUUGUCUAGCCGUUUACCAUCCCUACUUCAAAGAACUACAAGGUUAAAGGUCUUCCCCAGUAUGUUCUUAUCGAUGUUGGUUUAGACCCCGCUGCAUCUGGAUUUAUCCAGCGGCAGCUAAGAGCUACUGAGAACAAUGUGAAAGACCUCCCUCCUGGCACCCAUUUCUUCAUUGAGACCCUCAGUUUCUCCUCCUAACCAGGAAUUAAAGAGUGGACAGAUGAAUUAAGGAGCAGGCUGGAGAAGAGGAGGCAGCCUUCCCAAGAGAUAGUAGGUCAGUAAAGACCCAUGACUGGCUAAGAGUUGGCAGAGGCCAUGGCCAGGAACAUAAACUUCAGCUCUAGCACUCAAGUGUAAGACCCACAGACUUGUUUAAACCCCAGAUCCUGCCCUCAAAAAUUGUCUUUACUGCUUAGACAGAUCUCUUUCCUCUGGAUAUAACCUGACCCAUCAACUUAGACUGUGUGGACCGCUCCUCCUCCUUUUCCUUUUCUUCCUCCUCUUCCUCUAUCAACAACCUUUACCAUGGAGACAAGUAUCCUGCUGAGCAAUAUUCCCUAGAUAUUUUAAAUUUGUACCAUCUUCACUAGUACCUUGAAAGUUUUAAAAGGUAUAUAUUGUCUAAAUACUUAAAUAAGUUCACAUGUAAUCUGAAAAUCUGAGUACUCUAAACAACACACAUACACACACACACACACACACACACACACACACACACACACACACACACCCCUACUCUGUAAUCUGCAUACAACUCAAAAUAAACAUCAUUUCACAAUAUCGUGCA
rnacentral:lncRNA from 1 species